GACAAGCGGUGGAGCAUGUGGUUUAAUUCGACGCAACGCGAAGAACCUUACCUGGGCUUGACAUCUGGGGAAUCUCAUGGAAACAUGGGAGUGCGGAGCAAUCUGAACCCCAAGACAGGUGCUGCAUGGCUGUCGUCAGCUCGUGUCGUGAGAUGUUGGGUUAAGUCCCGCAACGAGCGCAACCCUUGUCUCUAGUUGCCAUCAUUCAGUUGGGCACUCUAGCGAGACUGCCGGUAAUAAACCGGAGGAAGGUGGGGAUGACGUCAAAUCAUCAUGCCCCUUAUGACCUGGGCUACACACGUGCUACAAUGGUUGGUACAACGAGUUGCGAGUCGGUGACGACGAGCUAAUCUCUUAAAGCCAAUCUCAGUUCGGAUUGUAGGCUGCAACUCGCCUACAUGAAGUCGGAAUCGCUAGUAAUCGCGGAUCAGCACGCCGCGGUGAAUACGUUCCCGGGCCUU
rnacentral:rRNA from 1 species